CCCUUAGAUGUUCUGGGCCGCACGCGUGCUACACUGAGUAAUUCAAUGGGUAAGGGAACGCUAGAGCAUUACCUAAUCUUGAAAUUUGCUCGUGAUGGGGAUCGACGGUUGCAAUUUUCCGUCGUGAACGAGGAAUACCUUGUAGGCGCAUGUCACCAUCAUGCGCCGAAUACGUCCCUGCCCUUUGUACACACCGCCCGUCGCUCCUACCGAUUGAGUGAUCCGGUGAGGCUCUGGGACCUGGACGGAAAGAGCGUUUCGCUUGUUCUGUUUGGGAAACUUGGUCGAACCUUAUCAUUUAGAGGAAGGAGAAGUCGUAACA
rnacentral:rRNA from 1 species